rnacentral:rRNA from 1 species
GACGGUAACAGCCCGGUAGUUGAAAUGGCUUUCCCUCCAGAGUGGAUCCUGAGUACGGCGGAACACGUGAAAUUCCGUCGGAAUCCGGGAGGACCAUCUCCCAAGGCUAAAUACUCCCUAGUGACCGAUAGUGAACCAGUACCGUGAGGGAAAGGUGAAAAGCACCCCGGAAGGGGAGUGAAACAGUUCCUGAAACCGUGUGCCUACAAGUAGUUAGAGCCCGUUAAUGGGUGAUAGCGUGCCUUUUGUAGAAUGAACCGGCGAGUUACGAUUUGUUGCAAGGUUAAGCGGAAAAAGCGGAGCCGUAGCGAAAGCGAGUCUGAAUAGGGCGCAUAAGUAACAGGUCGUAGACCCGAAACCAGGUGAUCUACCCAUGUCCAGGAUGAAGGUAAGGUAAUACUUACUGGAGGUCCGAACCCACGCACGUUGAAAAGUGCGGGGAUGAGGUGUGGGUAGCGGAGAAAUUCCAAUCGAACUUGGAGAUAGCUGGUUCUCUCCGAAAUAGCUUUAGGGCUAGCCUCGAGGUAAAGAGUCAUGGAGGUAGAGCACUGUUUGGACUAGGGGCCCUUCUCGGGUUACCGAAUUCAGAUAAACUCCGAAUGCCAUGUACUUAUACUCGGGAGUCAGACUGCGAGUGAUAAGAUCCGUAGUCGAAAGGGAAACAGCCCAGACCACCAGUUAAGGUCCCCAAAUAUAUGUUAAGUGGAAAAGGAUGUGGGGUUGCUUAGACAACCAGGAUGUUGGCUUAGAAGCAGCCACCAUUGAAAGAGUGCGUAAUAGCUCACUGGUCGAGUGACCCCGCGCCGAAAAUGUACCGGGGCUAAACAUAUUACCGAAACUGUGGAUGAACCUCUUUAGAGGUUCGUGGUAGGAGAGCGUUCUAAGGGCGGUGAAGUCAGACCGGAAGGACUGGUGGAGCGCUUAGAAGUGAGAAUGCCGGUAUGAGUAGCGAAAGAAGGGUGAGAAUCCCUUCCACCGAAUAUCUAAGGUUUCCUGAGGAAGGCUCGUCCGCUCAGGGUUAGUCGGGACCUAAGCCGAGGCCGAUAGGCGUAGGCGAUGGACAACAGGUAGAGAUUCCUGUACCAGUGCUAAUUGUUUAACCGAUGGGGUGACACAGAAGGAUAGGGAAUCGCACGAAUGGAAAUGUGCGUCCAAGCAGUGAGUGUGAGAAGUAGGCAAAUCCGCUUCUCGCGAAGCAUGAGCUGUGAUGGGGAAGGAAAUUAAGUACGGAAGUUCCUGAUUUCACGCUGUCAAGAAAAGCCUCUAGGAAGAGUAGUACUGCCCGUACCGCAAACCGACACAGGUAGAUGAGGAGAGAAUCCUAAGGUGAGCGAGAGAACUCUCGUUAAGGAACUCGGCAAAAUGACCCCGUAACUUCGGGAGAAGGGGUGCUCUAUUAGGGUGCAAGCCCGAGAGAGCCGCAGUGAAUAGGCCCAGGCGACUGUUUAGCAAAAACACAGGUCUCUGCAAAACCGUAAGGUGACGUAUAGGGGCUGACGCCUGCCCGGUGCUGGAAGGUUAAGAGGAGUGCUUAGCUUCGGCGAAGGUACGAAUUGAAGCCCCAGUAAACGGCGGCCGUAACUAUAACGGUCCUAAGGUAGCGAAAUUCCUUGUCGGGUAAGUUCCGACCCGCACGAAAGGCGCAACGAUCUGGGCACUGUCUCAACGAGAGACUCGGUGAAAUUAUAGUACCUGUGAAGAUGCAGGUUACCCGCGACAGGACGGAAAGACCCCGUGGAGCUUUACUGCAACCUGAUAUGGAAUGUUUGUACCGCUUGUACAGGAUAGGUAGGAGCCGAAGAGACGUGUGCGCUAGCAUACGAGGAGGCAAUGGUGGGAUACUACCCUGGCUG